rnacentral:rRNA from 1 species
CGAUCUAGCCACGGCGAAAGGAGCACCAAAGACCUCUAGAACGGCGAAUGCCUCGGAUAUUUGUCUACCGAAAGAAAAAGCACUACAACGGACCCCGAAAGCAACCACAGAGAAUGCACCCAUAAUCAAGCUACCAAAGAAAAAGCAGGUCAGCAUUACCUGGCGCAGCAAGACCUGCCGGAAGACCAAGCGCCCCCCGAUGACAACCAGCCGCGCCACCGAGCCGUCCACCACGACGAGGACGACAAAACGGCCUAGCCAGACGAAGUAGAACAGUAAGAGCGGGCAGAAGAGUCCAACCAGUGAACCCCGCCCCAAGCUGAAGAGGCGCCCAACCAGCGAGACCCGCCCCAAGCUAAAGAAGGGUACAAACAAAACACGCUAGAGGACGAAGCCACCUAGAACGCCGCGUUAGACCACCACUACAAAGACGACCUGCUGCGUCCCUCCUCUAGGCCAACCCGUUCGCAGGACCGUAGCAGAGGUGCCGGGAAAGAGCUAGAGGUUAAGAGGUAGCUUCAACACGAAAGACAGGAAAAAGUGCGUGGUGCUAGUUCGGUACGCCCCUCGCGUUGGCAGCUUCCGCUCGUCCACUCCAACUAGAACUGCCGCAGGAUGACGAGCGGCCGUUCUGGCAGGGUACCCCUCGCGGCGGACAGAGAGGAGUCCGUGCGUCGGAUAGGUGAGGUCGCGGCCAAGGAGCACGGAAACCGCAGUAGCCCCGUAGUGGCGGAGAGGGAUACGGAGAACCAUACACCCUGUGCGACACAGGGAGCGGAACGUGGAGACCUGCAGCGGGACAAGAUAGACGGAAAGAAGAAUCUAGUAAGUACACGUCGUAGUCCUCCCCGCCACCAUGCCAAACCGAAACCUUCGACCGGUAGUUUAGGACAACAUGUCACAACGACUCUACGUUGUGUUUUUAAACUCACCGCCAGAGUACCACCGGCAUCCCGGAGCUGGACGAGAAGCUAGGAAAAGAGAAAAGAAAGGAGGCUCUACCUUAACACGAGGCAAGCGGUGUAGGGGCUCGUACGUGGCGGUACCAGCCUAGGAUCGCCGGACGCCGGAAGGAACCGCUGUCCACAGUGCCAGGUACCGCAACCACCUCCUCUGCUAGCUGUGCCGCCCGUCGAUGUUGUGCUUUAGGACAUACAACUCUCGGACCGGCACUCGUGUGCUCGCCUCCCUGCUGUUGUGUCGCCUCGACAACUUCGAGGUCGUCAAGCCGAAGAGGGACAGGCGUGUUCUCUUCGUCCAAAGCGGCCGGUGAAUAGAAAGACUAAAAGAUCGAUCUUUAACCACACGAAGUGAACAAUCAAUAAAGAAUAUUUCUUACUUUUACAUAGCUCCUAGCUAAGCUCUUCUUUGAAUCGACGACCUUCCCAUUCGAAUACAGUAUACCUCCUGCUGAUCAUAACUAAUUAAGUUAUGAUUGCUCGUACGGCUACAAGGAGGACAGAAAAAAGCUCCACAGGUUUCCCUAUGCGUUCUCUAAUCUGAAAAUAGCUAAAUAGCUAGAGCUAAGAAGAUCGUUAGAUUGCUCUAAUUCUGUUUUAUAACAGACCAUUCUACCCUAUAAUAAACAGCUGGUUUCUUGCCCCCAGAACCCUAACUUUUAGAGCUCCACUUUUUAUUUACGAACAACUCAUUUACCGAUAUAGCUGAUAGCGACGUAAGACUUCCUUACACCCGGAUCUAAGAAGCGUUGUUCAUAAAUGUGAAGUUUUGAGAUCGGGUCCAAUGAAUGCUGGAUUACUAAGUGGUAAAACCUUCCCUGAGUACGCUCACUUUCUUUGAAAGAAAGUAUCCCACUUCAAAUUACAACCCCUGCCGAGUUGUUAUUCCAAAACCCUCCUAUGCACUAAUCCACUAUGUAGCGAUCGAGAAGUUAUAGGAAGGGACAUAGUAUAACGAGUUUCGUUCCUUCUCAAGUAUCGUUGCCACUACGUUUGCCAUGGGAACUUAUAGGUCAAGUUUGCUAGAGAUCAACCCCUUGCGACUUGAAGAACCGAUGUGAAUCAAUCCUCCGAUUACCUUCACGUGGAAAGGCUACUCCUUCUUAGAAAAUCUACCUUCGAGUGCUCAUCAACGAAUAAAUACCAGUUCAGAUACAUGAAUCUAGAGUAGUUAAGACCGGGUUAGGAUGCUAACGAAGUAUAAACCGCUCAAUUUCACGGGAAUGCUUAAUUCUAUAAAUACACCAAACAAGUGUUUGUUCACUAGGAUUGGUUUCUAUUGAAUAACUCCGUCUCUACCCAUCCAUCGAGCUUCACAACAAAAACACUAGUCCUACUUUGUUAUGUUGUGGAUAAAGAACUAACAGGAGAACGAUUCAAUGAAACCGCCAGCCACGUACAUUGGAAAUUAUAAAGUGGAGGAUUAUCGUAUCUUCGAAACAAACUUUGCACCGAACUACCCCACUUAAAAGUAUAGCGCACAUUAUAAGCCUAGUCUUAUACGCGUGAAUAAACCCGAUAUACCUUGACAUGCUUACUAUACUAAAAAUUGUCUUUUGGAUACUAAUUAAAGAACGUCCAGUAUAAGGCCCGAUGCCGUACUUAGGCAUGUACCAGUAAUGAGUGAGGAUGCCGGAAGUCCCUCGUCGACCGAUGACCCACGUUGGCUACCCUCUACCGUCGUACCCAAAAAAAGUUGGCCAAACCUACCGCUAGUGACGUAUCCUAUCCAGGAAUCACCUAGGAGCAGGUCGGCCUACGCCGAAACUCUGAACAUGAGAAAUAAAAAAAAAGGAAACGAGGAAAACACUCGUCAUGAAACGUCUAGUCUGAAACGAUGACAGCCUAAAAAUUAUUUCACCGGCGUACGUAGAAAGGCUGCGUCUCCGACCUCCUACUGGAGGAAAAGGUUUUUUUUUUUCAAUAAAGAUGAUCUAUGUACAAUGAUGAGUUUAAGAAGCAUAAAGCGAACCCUAGAGCUACCCGGAUUAUUAGAAGAGACUUAAAUUAGUACGAUGUCCUGGCUUCCCUCUACUAGUCUCGCGCCGAGACCUGUCAAUGGGUGGUUCUUUCAAUCUGCCAGGCUGACGUAUCAUAUGUUUCUAGUAACUAAGAGUAUCAGUGAAUGGGUGGUUCUUUCGAUGUACUAUCAAAUAAAUCAUUGUC